rnacentral:rRNA from 1 species
GACGAACGCUGGCGGCGUGCCUAAUACAUGCAAGUAGGACGCAGUUGCGAACGGGUGAGUAACGCGUAGGUAACUACCUAUUAGAGGGGGAUAACUAUUGGAAACGAUAGCUAAUACCGCAUACUAGUAGAUGUACCUGCGUUGUAUUAGCUAGUAGGUAGGGUAAUGGCCUACCUAGGCAACGAUACAUAGCCGACUUGAGAGGUGAAGCGGCCAAACUGGGGCUUGGACACGGCCCAGACUCCUACGGGAGGCAGCAGUAGGGAAUCGUCGGAAAUGGGGGGAACCCUGACCGAGCAACGCCGCGUGAGGGAAGAAGGUUUUCGGAUCGGAAAGCUAUGUUGUUAAGGAAGCGGUAAUUAACCAGAAAGGGACGGCUAACUACGUGCCAGCAGCCGCGGUAAUAC